UACAGAGGUGGCAAGCGUUGUUCGGAAUUACUGGGCGUAAAGCGCGUGUAGGCGGCUCUUCAAGUCAGGCGUGAAAGCCCCGGGCUCAACCCGGGAACUGCGCUUGAUACUGUCGAGCUAGAGUGUGGAAGGGGCGAUUGGAAUUCCGUGUGUAGCGGUGAAAUGCGUAGAUAUACGGAGGAACACCAGAGGCGAAGGCGGGUUGCUGGGCCGACACUGACGCUGAAGCGCGAAAGCCAGGGGAGCGAACGGG
rnacentral:rRNA from 1 species